UCUAGAGGCUUCGGCAAUAGGGGCAACCCUGACCGAGCGACGCCGCGUGCGGGAUUGAAGGUCGUGAGAUUGUAAACCGCUGUCGGCGGGAAAGAAGGUCCGGAUGGUGAAUUCGGAUCUGACGGUACCCGCAAAGGAAGCCCCGGCUAACUCCGUGCCAGCAGCCGCGGUAAUACGGAGGGGGCUAACGUUGUUCGGAAUUACUGGGCGUAAAGGGUGCGUAGGCGGUUCGGCAAGUCCGGCGUGAAAUCCCCUCGCUUAACGAGGGAACUGCGUUGGAAACUACCGAACUCGAGAGUGGGAGAGGCUGGUGGAAUUCCUGGUGUAGCGGUGGAAUGCGUAGAUAUCAGGAAGAACACUCUUGGCGAAGGCGGCCAGCUGGCCCAUUUCUGACGCUGAGGCACGAAAGCCAGGGGAGCAAACGGG
rnacentral:rRNA from 1 species